AUGUUUGCUGGAUCCCGACGUGGUUCUCAGUUCUGGAAGGACCUUAUUAAAGUCAGGCCUCUCUUCCUGGAUCAUGUUAAGUUUAUUGCGGGUGAUGGUACCUCGGUCCGUUUUUGGCGCGACUGGUGGUGUGGUGAUGCUCCUUUGGCUAGUAGGUUCCCUGUUUUGUUUUCUUUCUGUCCUAACCCUGACAUCUCCAUCGCGGAGGUGGCACCUAAUAACUGGGAUUUGGCCUUUCGCCGCUCCCUGACUCCUGAAGAGUUGGAAGAUUGGCAAAGUCUUACUGCCUUCUUCCCCACGCUCUCGGAGUCGCCGGACUCUGUUGUCUGGCCUCAUUCUGCCUCUGGUCAUUUUUCGGUUAAAUCUUUGUACGCGAGGCUCAUCGGUGGUGUCCCUUCCAACAGGUUCUCUUGCAUUUGGAGGACCAAAGUUCCUCCUAAGGUGAAAAUCUUCCUCUGGCAAGCCUUUAGGGGCCGGCUUCCCGCUGCUGAUCAAAUCCGUAAGCGUAAUGGUCCAGGCUCGGAAUUUUGUGCUCUUUGUGGUGCUGUGGAAAACACGGAGCAUAUCUUCUUUCACUGUGUUUUGGCUAAGUUUGUUUGGUGCUGUGUCCGGUCGUGGCUUCAGGUUACUUGGAACCCUUCUUCCUUUCAUGAGAUGAGAAACCUUGCCAGCUCGUUGGUUGGGGUCACUAAGAGGGUUUUCUGGGUUGGCUUGGGUGCGAUGUGCUGGUCUCUUUGGACGAUUAGGAACAAAUUUACUAUCGAACAUGUCUUUCCUUUGAAAGCGUCUGACGUUCUUUUCAAAUCAUGUAUAUUCUUGCAGCAGUGGAGACCAUUGACUAAAGAGGACGAUCGGGGAGCUCUAGACCUGCUAAUCUCUAAAAUUCGGGCCUUGGCGUCCUCCAUCUCCGGGCAGGCUCCUGACGUCUAA
rnacentral:rRNA from 1 species